rnacentral:rRNA from 1 species
UACGUAGGGGGCUAGCGUUGUCCGGAAUCAUUGGGCGUAAAGCGCACGUAGGCGGAUUGCUAAGUCAGGGGUGAAAUCCUGGAGCUCAACUCCAGAACUGCCUUUGAUACUGGCGACCUUGAGUCCGGGAGAGGUGAGUGGAACUGCGAGUGUAGAGGUGAAAUUCGUAGAUAUUCGCAAGAACACCAGUGGCGAAGGCGGACUCACUGGCCCGGUACUGACGCUGAGGUGCGAAAGCGUGGGAG